AACGAACGCUGGCGGCAGGCCUAACACAUGCAAGUCGAGCGAGGUAGCAAUACCUAGCGGCGGACGGGUGAGUAACGCGUGGGAACGUGCCCUUUGCUACGGAAUAGCCCUGGGAAACUGGGAGUAAUACCGUAUAAGCCCGAGAGGGGAAAGAUUUAUCGGCGAAGGAUCGGCCCGCGUUGGAUUAGGUAGUUGGUGGGGUAAUGGCCUACCAAGCCGACGAUCCAUAGCUGGUUUGAGAGGAUGAUCAGCCACACUGGGACUGAGACACGGCCCAGACUCCUACGGGAGGCAGCAGUGGGGAAUCUUAGACAAUGGGGGAAACCCUGAUCUAGCCAUGCCGCGUGAUCGAUGAAGGCCUUAGGGUUGUAAAGAUCUUUCAGUGGGGAAGAUAAUGACGGUACCCACAGAAGAAGCCCCGGCUAACUCCGUGCCAGCAGCCGCCGUAA
rnacentral:rRNA from 1 species